rnacentral:rRNA from 1 species
CGGACGGGUGGGUAACGCGUGAGUAACCUGCCUUACACAAGGGGAUAGCCGUUGGAAACGACGAAUAAUACCCUAUGAAACUAUCACUUCGCAUGAAGCGAUAGUCAAAGUGUUAGCGGUGUAAGAUGGACUUGCGUCUGAUUAGCUAGUUGGUGAGAAAAAGCCCACCAAGGCAACGAUCAGUAGCCGGCUUGAGAGAGUGUACGGCCACAUUGGGACUGAGACACGGCCCAG